AAUCCAUAGGUUAAUGAGGCGAACCGGGGGAACUGAAACAUCUAAGUACCCCGAGGAAAAGAAAUCAACCGAGAUUCCCCCAGUAGCGGCGAGCGAACGGGGAGGAGCCCAGAGCCUGAAUCAGCAUGUGUGUUAGUGGAAGCGUCUGGAAAGGCGCGCGAUACAGGGUGACAGCCCCGUACACAAAAGCGCAUGUGCUGUGAGCUCGAUGAGUAGGGCGGGACACGUGGUAUCCUGUCUGAAUAUGGGGGGACCAUCCUCCAAGGCUAAAUACUCCUGACUGACCGAUAGUGAACCAGUACCGUGAGGGAAAGGCGAAAAGAACCCCGGCGAGGGGAGUGAAAAAGAACCUGAAACCGUGUACGUACAAGCAGUGGGAGCACAGGUUUACCUGUGUGACUGCGUACCUUUUGUAUAAUGGGUCAGCGACUUAUAUUCUGUAGCAAGGUUAACCGAAUAGGGGAGCCGGAGGGAAACCGAGUCUUAACCGGGCGUUAAGUUGCAGGGUAUAGACCCGAAACCCGGUGAUCUAGCCAUGGGCAGGUUGAAGGUUGGGUAACACUAACUGGAGGACCGAACCGACUAAUGUUGAAAAAUUAGCGGAUGACCUGUGGCUGGGGGUGAAAGGCCAAUCAAACCGGGAGAUAGCUGGUUCUCCCCGAAAGCUAUUUAGGUAGCGC
rnacentral:rRNA from 1 species